rnacentral:rRNA from 1 species
CUACGGGACGCUCCAGUGAGGAAUUUUGCGCAAUGGGGGAAACCCUGACGCAGCGACGCCGCGUGGACGAUGAAGGCCUUAGGGUUGUAAAGUCCUGUCAGCAGGAAAGAAAUGUGCAUAAGUUAAUACCUUAUGCAUUUGACGGUACCUGCAAAGGAAGCACCGGCUAACUCCGUGCCAGCAGCCGCGGUAAUACGGAGGGUGCAAGCGUUAAUCGGAAUUACUGGGCGUAAAGGGCGCGUAGGCGGCCCUGUUAGUCAGAUGUGAAAGCCCCCGGCUCAACCGGGGAAGUGCAUCUGAAACUGCAGGGCUUGAAUAUGGGAGAGGAAAGUGGAAUUCCCGGUGUAGAGGUGAAAUUCGUAGACAUCGGGAGGAACACCAGUGGCGAAGGCGACUUUCUGGACCAAUAUUGACGCUGAGGCGCGAAAGCGUGGGGAGCAAACGGGAUUAGAUACCCCGGUAGUC